UCUCCGUAGGUGAACCUGCGGAGGGAUCAUACAGAGUUCUCGCCCUCGCGGGUAGAUCUCCCACCCACUGUUAUCGUUACUGUGUUGCUUUGGCGGGCCGCCGGGCCCCGCUCGGCCGCCGGCUCCGGCUGGCGCGCGCCCGCCAGAGGCCCAGCAAACUCUGAAUGUUAGUGUCGUCUGAGUACUAUAUAAUGGUUAAAACUUUCAACAACGGAUCUCUUGGUUCUA
rnacentral:misc_RNA from 1 species